CCAAAAUUAAGUGAAACUAAUACUGUAGCAAAGAGCUUUUAGCAGAGCAACUUCAGGGGUUGGAGUGUGGGACCAGUUUUACUGCCCUUCAGGAAUCAACUUGGAAAUAAAAGAAGACAACAAAAAGAACAUAUUAUUACCAACCCUUUCCUACCCUGAAUACCACACAUCAGACAGUGAUCUUCGAGGUUCUUUUAACUAAGGCUGAAUAGGAGAAGCCCUGCUCAUGUUUCAUGAAGAUUGCUUGAGUAAAAGGCAAUGUGAUUUGGGACAUAUCCUGUGCAAUCCCAGCCAGUUCAUGCCUCACAUCUCUCCUGCUCUGGAAUCUUCUGCUGUAUCCAGAUGUGUUGGUAUUUGACACACAGCUGUUGAGUGCACUGUGCAUGACUCUCAGAUGCAUUGCUGGGGCAGGGAUACAGCUCCAUGGUGUUAUUGAAAAGCAAGUGUGUAAGAACAGAAAAAGAAAGGCACCUUGGGCUGGGAACAGAGGAAAGGAGUGUCUACAGAAGGAUGUGGGGUACUGGGCUGGGGUCUGGAUCUACACCUUGAUUGUGAUGGAGACUCUAUGAUUAUGUAUGUGCUCAAAUUUCAUGGAAAUGUGCAACAAAU